rnacentral:rRNA from 1 species
CCUACGGGAGGCAGCAGUGGGGAAUAUUGGACAAUGGGCGCAAGCCUGAUCCAGCCAUGCCGCGUGGGUGAAGAAGGCCUUCGGGUUGUAAAGCCCUUUUGUCCGGAAAGAAAAGCCUCGGAUUAAUACCCUGGGGUGAUGACGGUACCGGAAGAAUAAGCACCGGCUAACUUCGUGCCAGCAGCCGCGGUAAUACGAAGGGUGCAAGCGUUACUCGGAAUUACUGGGCGUAAAGCGUGCGUAGGUGGUUUGUUAAGUCUGAUGUGAAAGCCCUG